CAAUAGCGUAUAUUUACGUUGUUGCAGUUAAAAAGCUCGUAGUUGGAUUUCGGAUGGGAUUUGCCGGUCCGUCGUUACGAUGUGCACUGGCCAGUCCUAUCUUGUUGUCGGGGACUAGCUCCUUGGAUUCACUUCCUGGGACUAGGAGCUGACGAGGUUACUUUGAGUAAAUUAGAGUGUUCAAAGCAAGCCUACGCUCUGAAUACAUUAGCAUGGAAUAACACGAUAGGACUCUGGCUUAUCUUGUUGGUCUGUGAGACCAGAGUAAUGAUUAAGAGGGACAGUCGGGGACAUUCGUAUUUCAUUGUCAGAGGUGAAAUUCUUGGAUUUAUGAAAGACGAACUUCUGCGAAAGCAUUUGUCAAGGAUGUUUUCAUUAA
rnacentral:rRNA from 1 species